CUACGGGAUGCAGCAGUGGGGAAUAUUGCACAAUGGAGGAAACUCUGAUGCAGCAACGCCGCGUGGAGGAUGACACUUUUCGGAGCGUAAACUCCUUUUAUAUAGGAAGAAGAUGACGGUACUAUAUGAAUAAGCGCCGGCUAACUCCGUGCCAGCAGCCGCGGUAAUAAGGAGGGCGCAAGCGUUACUCGGAAUCACUGGGCGUAAAGAGCGUGUAGGCGGAUUAAAAAGUCAGAAGUGAAAUCCUAUAGCUUAACUAUAGAACUGCUUCUGAAACUCUUAAUCUAGAAUAUGGGAGAGGUAGAUGGAAUUUCUGGUGUAGGGGUAAAAUCCGUAGGGAUCAGAAGGAAUACCGAUUGCGAAGGCGAUCUACUAGAACAUUAUUGACGCUGAGACGCGAAAGCGUGGGGAGCAAACAGGAUUAGAUACCCUCGUAGUC
rnacentral:rRNA from 1 species